GCCAGCCCGCUCAAGAACUUAAAGGAAUUGACGGGGGCCCGCACAAGCGGAGGAGCAUGUGGUUUAAUCGAUGAUACGCGAGGAACCUUACCUGGGCUCGAACGUAAGAUGACUGUAGGUGAAAGCUUUACAUCUCUUCGGAGCAUUUUACGAGGUGCUGCAUGGUUGUCGUCAGCUCGUGCCGUGAGGUGUCGGGUUAAGUCCCAUAACGAGCGCAACCCCUAUUGCUAGUUACCAUCAUUAAGUUGGGGACUCUAGCGAGACUGCCAGUGAUAAACUGGAGGAAGGUGGGGAUGACGUCAAAUCAUCAUGCCCCUUAUGACCUGGGCUACAAACGUGAUACAAUGGCUGGAACAAAGGGAUGCGAAGCAGUGAUGUGGAGCGAAACCCAUAAAAACAGUCUCAGUUCGGAUUGAAGUCUGCAACUCGACUUCAUGAAGUCGGAAUCGCUAGUAAUCGCGGAUCAGAACGCCGCGGUGAAUACGUUCUCGGGGUUU
rnacentral:rRNA from 1 species